rnacentral:rRNA from 1 species
AACGAACGCUGGCGGCAGGCCUAACACAUGCAAGUCGAGCGCGCCCUUCGGGGUGAGCGGCGGAAGGGUGAGUAACGCGUGGGAACGUGCCCUUUUCUACGGAAUAGCCUCGGGAAACUGAGAGUAAUACCGUAUACGCCCUUUGGGGGAAAGAUUUAUCGGAAAAGGAUCGGCCCGCGUUGGAUUAGGUAGUUGGUGGGGUAAUGGCCUACCAAGCCGACGAUCCAUAGCUGGUUUGAGAGGAUGAUCAGCCACACUGGGACUGAGACACGGCCCAGACUCCUACGGGAGGCAGCAGUGGGGAAUCUUAGACAAUGGGGGCAACCCUGAUCUAGCCAUGCCGCGUGAGUGAUGAAGGCCUUAGGGUUGUAAAGCUCUUUCAGCUGGGAAGAUAAUGACGGUACCAGCAGAAGAAGCCCCGGCUAACUCCGUG